rnacentral:tRNA from 1 species
GCUUAAGUAUUUUAAUUAUAAAAUAUUGUUUUGUGGGAUCAAUGAUAUGAUUUAUUUCAUCUUAGGCC